rnacentral:rRNA from 1 species
UACGGAGGGUGCAAGCGUUAUCCGGAUUUACUGGGUUUAAAGGGUGCGUAGGUGGGCGAGAAAGUCAGUGGUGAAAUCUCCGGGCUUAACCCGGAAACUGCCAUUGAUACUAUUUGUCUUGAAUACUGUGGAGGUCAGCGGAAUAUGUCAUGUAGCGGUGAAAUGCUUAGAUAUGACAUAGAACACCAAUUGCGAAGGCAGCUGGCUACACAAAUAUUGACACUGAGGCACGAAAGCGUGGGGAUCAAACAGG